rnacentral:rRNA from 1 species
GACGAACGCUGGCGGCGUGCUUAACACAUGCAAGUCGAACGAAAAAUCAUUGAAAGCUUGCUGAUAUGAUUUUUAGUGGCGGACGGGUGAGUAACGCGUGAGGACCUGUCUUAUACAGGGGGACAACAGUUGGAAACGGCUGCUAAUACCCCAUAAGCCUUCGGGUAAAAGGAGUAAUUCGGUAUUCGAGAGACUCGCGUCCUAUCAGCUAGUAGGUGAGGUAACGGCUCACCUAGGCGAAGACGGGUAGCCGACCUGAGAGGGUGAUCGGCCACAUUGGAACUGAGACACGGUCCAAACUCCUACGGGAGGCAGCAGUGGGGAAUUUUGGACAAUGGGGGCAACCCUGAUCCAGCCAUGCCGCGUGAGUGAAGAAGGCCUUCGGGUUGUAAAGCUCUUUCGGCCGGGAAGAAAUCGCACGGGCUAAUACCCUGUGUGGAUGGCGGUACCGGAAUAAGAAGCACCGGCUAACUACGUGCCAGCCGCCGCAGUAAAAC